AAUGCCCUUGAACUUUGCUGACUAGGUCCCUGCUGUUGGAAUUUUAAUUUCUUGUCACACUCUUUCCAUUGAUGAAUCCAGCAUGACCGAAGAGAGCAAGAUUGUUCACAAGGACUCGAGGGACCCAUUUAUAAUGUCUGGUUGCAAGGUUGCUGAUGACAAUGGCA